CCUACUGGUUUGACCCAUAGCUUGUGAGAUCCAUGCUUGCUAUCGCGGCUGCCAAAUCCGUUGUCCCUCGACUGGUCACCAGAUUGACACACUGCCGCCUUGUCUCUAAGAUGACAGAACAGACUGCUCUUCACGACGACAUUAAGCCGUUGGCGUGGUUGUUGGGGAGAUGGAGGGGAGACAACGGCGUCGGUAUAUUCCCCACCAUCAAGGACUUCAACUACGGCGAGGAGCUGUAUUUCUAUCACACUGGACAGCACUACAUCCACUUUCAAACACGCUCCUGGGAUGCGGGGACAAAGAAACCUUUGCAUGGAGAAUCAGGUUUUAUUCGACGACAGUCAGACACAAACCGCGUCGCCAUCACUAUUGCAACGAAUAUAGGUUUCAGUGAACUUGAAGAAGGGGAGCUAAAUGGUGAAGAGCUGAAUGUGGAGUCUCGAACUAUAGGUGGCAUGAGCUUCUUCCGGUUGACGCCAGCAACAAAGAUUAAACGUCUCAUUCGACGUGACGGGGACAGCCUGGAGCAGACGUUGUGGAUGGCAACGGAAAAGACGCCCCUGACGCAGCACCUGAACAUCCGUUACUCCAGGAUACAAGAGGAUGCCGCCGAACUGAAGAGCGUGCUGUGACCUAGCUAGAGUCACAGUUCAGAACCACACGCGUCUAUUACAUGCUUAAACACACUGAACCACUGUGAUAGCGUAAAGGCUCUUUUUCGUCUUUUAGAUUGGUUGUAUGGGUUGUAAGAACCAAAGCUGAAUGGAAGUCAUUUAAUUGGAUAUGUAUGUUUAUUCAGAUUGGCUGUGCAUGUAUUUGUACAAAUUAAUUUAAUUAGCAUGCAUAUGAUUUGUGUGUAAUCAAGGUCAUCUCUUUAUGAAAGGCGUUUCAAGCAAAUACAGUUUUCAUUUAACUUCGAAGCAGAUGCUGUAAAUUGAAAAUGUGUUCUUAGAAUUGAGAAACGAAAAGCAUGUCCUGUGACCAGCCCGCAAUCAAAGUCCAGGAUUGUAGACUUGAGACACACCUGGUCUAUUGCAUAUACUGAAGCCCUUUCCAAGAAAAUGGGGGCGGUGGGGUAGCCUAGUGGUUAAAGCCGUUCGCUCGUCACGCCGGAGACGCGGGUUCGAUUCCCCACAUGGGUACAAUGUGUGAAGCCCAUUUCUGGUGUCCCUUGCCGUAAUACUGCUGCAAUAUUGCGAAGAGCGGCGUA
rnacentral:misc_RNA from 1 species